GGCACUUCGGUGCUAGUGGCAGACGGGUGAGUAACGCGUGGGAACGUGCCUUUCGGUUCGGAAUAAUCCAGGGAAACUUGGACUAAUACCGGAUACGCCCUUCGGGGGAAAGAUUUAUCGCCGAAAGAUCGGCCCGCGUCUGAUUAGCUAGUUGGUGAGGUAAAGGCUCACCAAGGCGACGAUCAGUAGCUGGUCUGAGAGGAUGAUCAGCCACAUUGGGACUGAGACACGGCCCAAACUCCUACGGGAGGCAGCAGUGGGGAAUAUUGGACAAUGGGCGCAAGCCUGAUCCAGCCAUGCCGCGUGAGUGAUGAAGGCCUUAGGGUUGUAAAGCUCUUUUGUCCGGGAAGAUAAUGACUGUACCGGAAGAAUAAGCCCCGGCUAACUUCGUGCCAGCAGCCGCGGUAAUACGAAGGGGGCUAGCGUUGCUCGGAAUCACUGGGCGUAAAGGGCGCGUAGGCGGACUCUUAAGUCGGAGGUGAAAGCCCAGGGCUCAACCCUGGAAUUGCCUUCGAUACUGGGAGUCUUGAGUUCGGAAGAGGUUGGUGGAACUGCGAGUGUAGAGGUGAAAUUCGUAGAUAUUCGCAAGAACACCGGUGGCGAAGGCGGCCAACUGGUCCGAAACUGACGCUGAGGCGCGAAAGCGUGGGGAGCAAACAGGNNNAGAUACCCUGGUAGUCCACGCCGUANACGAUGAAUGCCAGCCGUUGGGGAGCNNNCUCUUCAGUGGCGCAGCUAACGCUUUAAGCAUUCCG
rnacentral:rRNA from 1 species